rfam:Sus scrofa chromosome X.
AAAAAGGCCCUUGUCAGUGGCCAGGGCCACCCAUAUGCAUAUACAGGUAGUAU